AGCGAACGCUGGCGGCAGGCCUAACACAUGCAAGUCGAACGAUCCUUCGGGAUAGUGGCGGACGGGUGAGUAACACGUGGGAACGUGCCCUUUGGUUCGGAACAACUCAGGGAAACUUGAGCUAAUACCGGAUGUGCCCUUCGGGGGAAAGAUUUAUCGCCAUUGGAGCGGCCCGCGUUGGAUUAGGUAGUUGGUGGGGUAAUGGCCCACCGAGCCUACGAUCCAUAGCUGGUCUGAGAGGAUGAUCAGCCACACUGGGACUGAGACACGGCCAAGACUCCUACGGGAGGCAGCAGUGGGGAAUCUUGCGCAAUGGGCGAAAGCCUGACGCAGCCAUGCCGCGUGAAUGAUGAAGGUCUUAGGAUUGUAAAAUUCUUUCACCGGGGACGAUAAUGACGGUACCCGGAGAAGAAGCCCCGGCUAACUUCGUGCCAGCCGCCGCAGUAAGAC
rnacentral:rRNA from 1 species